rnacentral:lncRNA from 1 species
AUGUGGGACUCCCACAUUCUAUUUUUUCAAUUCACACAAGAUUAGAUCAAAGUAUAAUUACAUGGUGUUUAAUCUUCCAAUUUUUCAUCCAACAUCACAUCAAUGUUCCAACACGUUGAUUUUUAUAAUUUCAUUGUCAAUCAAACAUAUACAAAUGGUAAAUCCUCAUGAACUUAAUUCAGUCUGUAGGGAUAAUACAUAACAUAUGUAAGGUCUGGGUUUCAAACCUCGUCCACCACUAAUAAGUCACACCGACAAAGAGGGACGGCCUCACGUUUAAGGGUGUGUGGGCCAUGGCGCUCACUUUGCUUUGGAAAAAUUGAUUUAAUACUUGAUCAUACACACUAAUAGAUCAAAUUAAAAGGAUAAAUGUGGAGGAUAAA